GUAAACCCCUAAAUUUAUCGUAACUUGUCAGGUUUAUAUAAUGAUGUAAUCUUUUGAAGCUAACCGGCAAUCAGGCUUUAUUUCAAUGCGGAGUGGUUGUUCGUCAAAUCCACUGACGGGAACUGAAGAUUCCAGAGCAAAUUUUAUUUUAAUACAAAGACGGAACAUCAGAUGGAUUCUCAUCGUAGAACAAAGGUCUACAUUAUAGAACGCCUUUACACGCACCAGUUAUCUGAUUAUCAUCG